rnacentral:rRNA from 3 species
GCGACCCCAGGAUGGGCGAGGCCACCCGCCGAGUUUAAGCAUAUCAAUAAGCGGAGGAGAAGAAC